AGAAUCAACGCUGGCGGCGUGCCUAACACAUGCAAGUCGCACGAGAAAGGGACUUCGGUCCUGAGUACAGUGGCGCACGGGUGAGUAACACGUGAAUAAUCUACCUCCGAGUGGGGAAUAACUGAGAGAAAUCUUAGCUAAUACCGCAUAACACUUACGAGUCAAAGCAGCAAUGCGCUUGGAGAGGAGUUCGCGGCAGAUUAGUUAGUUGGCGGGGUAAUGGCCCACCAAGACGAUGAUCUGUAUCCGGCCUGAGAGGGCGCGACGGACGACGACUGGAACUGAAACACGGUCCAGACUCCUACGGGAGGCAGCAGUGGGGAAUUUUGCGCAAUGGGGGAAACCCUGACGCAGCAACGCCGCGUGGAGGAUGAAAUCCCUUGGGAUGUAAACUCCUUUCGAUAGGGAAGAUAAAUGACGGUACCUAUAGAAGAAGCCCCGGCUAACUUCGUGCCAGCAGCCGC
rnacentral:rRNA from 1 species